rnacentral:lncRNA from 1 species
UCUACCCUCCUCCCUUCUAUUUCUUCUCACUUUCUCUUUUCUAAUCUUACAUCUCUCUCUUAUUCAAAGCUAAAAAAUUUACUUGUUCUAUUGAUAGUUUAUAUUUUAAAUUUGGAGAAAACUAUAUUGCAGCAGCCUGAUUCAUUUUUGGAAAUCAAGUCUUCAUAACUUUUGAAUUCAGUAAUAUCAUUCUAAUUUCUAAUAUUAUUUUUGUUUUGUGUCUUAUGUUUAUUAUAUUUUUUAUUUGAUAUUGUAAAUAGUGUUUAAAAUAUUUGUUAGAUUUUAAUAUGUCAAC